rnacentral:rRNA from 1 species
CCCUUAGAGUUUGAUCCUGGCUCAGAUUGAACGCUGGCGGCGUGCCUAACACAUGCAAGUCGAGCGGUAACAGGUGUAGCAAUACAUGCUGACGAGCGGCGGACGGGUGAGUAACGCUUGGGAAUCUGCCUGAUAGUGGGGGACAACCCGGGGAAACUCGGGCUAAUACCGCAUACGCACUACGGUGGGAAGCCGGGGACCGCAAGGCCUGGCGCUAACAGAUGAGCCCAAGUCGGAUUAGCUAGUUGGUAGGGUAACGGCCUACCAAGGCGACGAUCCGUAACUGGUCUGAGAGGACGACCAGUCACACCGGAACUGAGACACGGUCCGGACUCCUACGGGAGGCAGCAGUGGGGAAUAUUGGACAAUGGGCGAAAGCCUGAUCCAGCGACGCCGCGUGGGUGAAGAAGGCCUGCGGGUUGUAAAGCCCUUUCGGUGGGGAAGAAAAGCCUCGAGUUAAUACCUCGGGGUCUUGACGUAACCCAUAGAAGAAGCACCGGCUAACUCUGUGCCAGCAGCCGCGGUAAUACAGAGGGUGCGAACGUUAAUCGGAAUUACUGGGCGUAAAGCGCGCGUAGGCGGCUUUGCAAGUCGGGUGUGAAAUCCCCAGGCUUAACCUGGGAACUGCAUUCGAGACUGCAUUGCUAGAGUAUGGGAGAGGGAAGUGGAAUU